UAUGUGAUCGUCUCUCGCAUAUCAAUAAGCGGAGGAAAAGAAACUAACAAGGAUUCCCCUAGUAACGGCGAGUGAAGCGGGAAGAGCUCAAAUUUGAAAUCUUAAAGGGUUUCCCUUUACGAAUUGUAGUUUAAAGAAGUAUUUUCUGUUGAGGUUUUGGUAAAAGUUCUUUGGAAUAGGACAUCAUAGAGGGUGAGAAUCCCGUAUUUGACCUUUACUUUCAACUUUGUGAUACACUUUCAAAGAGUCGGAUUGUUUGGGAAUGCAGUCCAAAAGUGGGUGGUAAAUUUCAUCUAAAGCUAAAUAUUGGCGAGAGACCGAUAGCGAACAAGUACCGUGAGGGAAAGAUGAAAAGAACUUUGAAAAGAGAGUUAAACAGUACGUGAAAUUGUCAAAAGGGAAGCGUUUGACACCAGUGUUGUUUUUCUGAAAAUCAAUUAAAGAACUGUUUAUGCUAAGCUGUUUAGACUUUAUCAGCUAUCUGUUUAGUUUUGAGCUUUUCUUUAAUGCACUUUUCAGUUAACAAGUCAACAUCAAUUUCUUUUGCUGUAAAAAAGCUUGAGGAAGGUGGCUUGAGAUUCGUCUUAAGUGUUUAUAGCCUCUUGCCUAUGCAGUCGGAGAGAUUGAGGUCUGCAGCGUAGAUCCUUCGGGGCUAAAUGCAUUUGUGCUAAGUUAUAGCAUUUUAUAGACAACUUGUUGACUAUGAUUUGUCUUGUAGCUUACUCGCUUAUGUUAUUUUACCUACGCUUAGGAUGUUGAGCGCAUGUCUCUCUCU
rnacentral:rRNA from 1 species